rnacentral:tRNA from 1 species
AGAGGUAUAGCGUUGUAGUAGAGCACCUGCCUAGCAAACACAAGGCCCUGGGUUCAAACCCCAGUACCACCA